rnacentral:lncRNA from 1 species
GCUUGGGCCACACUGGAGGAGGAGAUAGCAAUGCUCUCCCCAAAAGAAGAGCCAGACAAAACAAGAAGAAGGCAUAUUCUCAGAGAAAUUUUUAAAGAUGAGAUAGUGAGAUUCCAUGCAGAGCCAGCACAAGCUGUAAUUACAAGAGGAAAGAGCCCAACUACUGACUCUUGAAUGAAGAGCAUGCUGCAUUGUGCAUUACCACUUCCUUCCUUGGCCUGGAAGUUGCCUGGCAUCUAGGAAGAAAACACAAUGGUGCAGACCACGGGCUCUGGAGCAAGACCGCCCAAGCAGGAACCCUGGACUCAACAUGAUCAGCAGUAACCUUGACCAAGUUAUUUAACCUCUCUACACCUCAUUUUCAUUACUAUAAGAUGGAGCUAUUCAUAGUACCCUUGCCUCAGUGUUGUUGGAAAGAUUAAAUUAUUAAUAUGCAUAAAGUGCCUACCACAGCACUUUGCUGUACAACUUGCUGUUUAACUGUUUGUUAUUCUGUAUGUACAGGAACGAGGAAGUAGCAGGCCCGGAUCCCUAGGGGAAUCAUUACUGCUGGAUAGUCAGAGGAGAUUUAAAAAUGAAGACUUCAGAAAACUCCAUUAGUUGCUACGAAAUGUCUCAGUAUUUUUUCCUCCCAUACAACAAAUAUAUAUAAUUAGUUUUUUGUAUGAGACAGUCCUUUCAACCUAAUAAAUAUGUAUGACCCUCAUAGUAGUAGUUAGAA